rnacentral:rRNA from 1 species
GCGGUUAUACAAAUUAUAUAAUUUAAUUUUUUUAAUUUUAAUUAAUUUAUUGGUUUAAAUUUUAAAUUUAAAUUUAAAUGGUGAAAUUUUAAAUUUAUAAUAAUUUUUAUAUUUGUUAAUGAUUUAAAAAAUUUUAAAUAUAAACUAGGAUUAGAUACCCUAUUAUUUAAAAUGUAUUUUUUUUAUUAAAUUAGUAUUAGUUAUGUUCUUGAAAAUUAAAAAUUUUGGCGGUAUUUUAGUCCAUUCAGAGGAACCUGUUUUAUAAAUGAUAAUCCACGAUUUAAUUUACUUUUUUAAAAAAUUUACAUAUCGUCGUAAUUUAAAUAUUUUUAUAGAAUUAUAAUAUUUAAGAUUUUUAUUAAAAAAUAUAUCAGAUCAAGGUGUAGUUUAUAAAAAAGAAAAAAUGGGUUAUAUUAAAUUUAUUUAUGGAUAUAUAUUUUUAUAAUAUUUUGAAUUUAGAUUUGAUAGUAAUUUUGAUAAAUUAAUCAGAAUGAUUUUGGCUCUAAAAUAUGU